rnacentral:rRNA from 1 species
UACGGAGGGUGCAAGCGUUAUCCGGAUUCACUGGGUUUAAAGGGUGCGUAGGUGGGUUGGUAAGUCAGUGGUGAAAUCUCCGAGCUUAACUUGGAAACUGCCAUUGAUACUAUCAGUCUUGAAUAUUGUGGAAGUCAGCGGAAUAUGUCAUGUAGCGGUGAAAUGCUUAGAUAUGACAUAGAACACCAAUUGCGAAGGCAGCUGGCUACACAUAUAUUGACACUGAGGCACGAAAGCGUGGGGAUCAAACAGG